UACGUAGGGACCAAGCGUUGUUCGGAUUUACUGGGCGUAAAGGGCGCGUAGGCGGCUUGACAAGUCACUUGUGAAAUCUCCGGGCUUAACUCGGAAUGGCCAAGUGAAACUGUCAUGCUAGAGUGCAGAAGGGGCAGUCGGAAUUCUUGGUGUAGCGGUGAAAUGCGUAGAUAUCAAGAGGAACACCUGAGGUGAAGACGGGUUGCUGGGCUGACACUGACGCUGAGGCGCGAAAGCCAGGGGAGCAAACGGG
rnacentral:rRNA from 1 species